rnacentral:rRNA from 1 species
AUUGAACGCUGGCGGCAUGCUUUACACAUGCAAGUCGAACGGUAACAGGGUGCUUGCACCGCUGACGAGUGGCGAACGGGUGAGUAAUGCGUCGGAACGUGCCGAGUAGUGGGGGAUAACGCAGCGAAAGUUGUGCUAAUACCGCAUACGUACUGAGGUAGAAAGUGGGGGACCUUCGGGCCUCACGCUAUUCGAGCGGCCGACGUCUGAUUAGCUAGUAGGUGAGGUAAAGGCUCACCUAGGCGACGAUCAGUAGCGGGUCUGAGAGGAUGAUCCGCCUCACUGGGACUGAGACACGGCCCAGACUCCUACGGGAGGCAGCAGUGGGGAAUUUUGGACAAUGGGCGAAAGCCUGAUCCAGCCAUGCCGCGUGUCUGAAGAAGGCCUUCGGGUUGUAAAGGACUUUUGUCAGGGAGGAAAUCCCUAGUGCUAAUAACACUGGGGGAUGACAGUACCUGAAGAAUAAGCACCGGCUAACUACGUGCCAGCAGCCGCCGCCGUAA